GCGGGUGUAGCUCAGCUGGUAGAGCGGUACCUUGCCAAGGUACAGGUCAGGAGUUCGAACCUCCUUACCCGCUCCA
rnacentral:tRNA from 2 species